GACGAACGCUGGCGGCGUGCCUAAUACAUGCAAGUAGGACACAGUUGCGAACGGUUGAGUAACGCGUAGGUAACUACCUAUUAGAGGGGGAUAACUAUUGGAAACGAUAGCGAAUACCGCAUACUAGUAGAUGGACCUGCGUUGUCUUAGCUAGUAGGUAGGGUAAAGGCCUACCUGGGCAACGAUACAUAGCCGACCUGAGAGUGUGAUCGGACACACUGUGCCUGGGACACGGCCCAGAAUUCUACGGGAGGCAGCAGUAGGGAAUCUUCGGCAAUGGGGGGAAACCUGACCGAGCAACGCGGCGUGAGUGAAGAAGGUUUUCGGAUCGUAAAGCUCUGUUGUUAAGGAAGCGGUACUUAACCAGAAAGGGACGGCUAACUACGUGCCAGCAGCCGCGGUAAUUC
rnacentral:rRNA from 1 species